CCUACGGGAGGCAGCAGUGAGGAAUAUUGGUCAAUGGGCGAGAGCCUGAACCAGCCAAGUAGCGUGCAGGAUGACGGCCCUAUGGGUUGUAAACUGCUUUUAUAAGGGAAUAAAGUGAGUCUCGUGAGACUUUUUGCAUGUACCUUAUGAAUAAGGACCGGCUAAUUCCGUGCCAGACAG
rnacentral:rRNA from 1 species